rnacentral:tRNA from 1 species
UUCCUGCUGGCUCAGUUGGUAAAGAAUCCGCCUGCAAUGCGGGAGACCUGGGUUCAAUCCCUGGGUUGGGAA